rnacentral:lncRNA from 1 species
AAUAGUUCUUAGGGGAUUUAAACGGUGCCUAUCUGAUAUAUACAUAUACAUGUUGUAAAAACUAGUCACUGUCCUUAUGAGAAAGUAUUUGGAGUGUAUAGAGAUGGGAGUGAGGCAGAAGAAGACUUGCAUUCAGUCUCAGUGAACCAAUAAGGAAGACGUACUCCUGGGUAAGGCUGAGUGAUGUCAGAGCAGGGAAUAUGCAGCUUUAUGAAGGAGGAUAACUUGAGUUGUGCCUUCCAAUAUGAGGCAAAUGAAUUACAGCCACUGGUGUGUAGUCUUUCCUGUCUACUGAUCUUCAGCUGUUCCUUCGGCGUUGUCCUGAGUCCACCAGGCAGGUCACUUGGAACAAAAAGGUUGGUGUUACCUCUGGUCCAGGGCCUGAAGUCGCUCCUGGGGGGCUGCACUUGAGCUCUCAGUGAGGGCAGUAACCAGAAGGGC